CUCAGUCUUACAGCGAUGUGGGGUUCAAAGACACAGGCGGGCAUGGGUGCGAGGAGGCAGCCUGUGCUGGGCAGAUCUAGCGAGGCAGUAGUACUACUUGAAAGGAUGAGGAGGCACUAGGGAAGUUGUCACUGGGAGUGUGAGGUUUCAAAAAACCUGGAGUCUCUUUCUUUCCUGCUGCAUGUGGAUCCAGAUGUAGAAUUUCUAGCUACUUCGGCACUACCAUAUCUUCCUGCAUGCCACCGUGCUUCUCACCACGAUGUUAAAGGACUAAACUUCUGAAACUCCCCUGUAUGCCCCCUUUCUAGCUUCCUGGCUUCUACAAGCACUUCAAGUUAAACACAGAAAUCUAGAAAUUUGGAGCUGAAAUCCACAUAUGAGAGAAAGCAUAUGGUAUCUGUCUUUCUGGGCUGGAUGACCUCUCUCAUUUCAAACUAAAAUCAGAACAAAUCGCACUGGCUCUCAACCUGAUGCUGUAGAAAGGAGUACCACAUGUUGCUGCCGACCUUCUCUUCACCUCUGCCCCGAGGCAGGCAACUUCAGAUGCAUUUUAUAGUGAAGUCACUUGGCAGGUAUCUGUUAAUAGGAAAUAGCACGUUAUAAAUUUAAACAAGUUUUCAUAGUUAAAUGGAGGUCUUCUUAAUUAGAUCCCAAAGAAUUCUCCAGUAGGACAAGUGCACACCUCAGAAAAUCAGACGGUAGAAGGCCUUUGUGCAUUUUUCCCGCUCCAUGGAUGACAUUAAAAGGUGAAAUGGAAAGAGCUGAGAAAGGUGUGUGUAUGGAUAUAUCUGAUAAAUACAUAUAUAUAUUUAAUAGAGACUUAAUCAGGUUAUAUUAACUACUGCAAGUCUAGUUUAAGGGUACAUAGACAUAUCUUAGCAACUUGUCACAAGAAACCUAGAACAGUUGCAUAGGACAAUCUACCUGAGAUUUAAGAACAGUAAAUUUAGGACCAGGAUAGCCUAAUAGUGUCAGGAACCCAGAAACCUAUCCCUGUAUGCCAUAGCUAUCCUUCAGCAGUAUCAUCUGGUCAGUCAACGUUUGAACUCUGUCGUUAUACAUGUCAAGGUUUUCAAUGUGUAAUAGUCUCUGUUUUGUUUUCUUAUUUAUAAUGUUAUUUCUCAAUUUACCCUUACAGGAAAGAGGAUCUCUUUGUUCACUGAGUUCACAUUAUUCCACUUUAACCAGGCCUUGAAUGACAAUCACAUAAAGUCUGACAUUUACCUAGUUCAUGGGGAAGAAAUGCUCACAGCUGGGUUCAACAGCUGAAGGUAGAAGUAUGUGUUUAAUAAUUUUGGGGGGGGGGUGGAUCAGGUUUAGGUCAAAGAGAAGAGUGUGGCAUGGAGCAAACUGUGGCAGGCACUAUGUGUGGUACCACCCAGGGAAUGAGCACUUAGUUAAGAUCACACUGGGAGAAGGAUGAAGAACAAUAGCCAACAAAGCAGCAUGACCCAGGAAAAAACUGUGGGUUAGAAUAGGCCAGAGUUUACAGUUAAAAGAAAGUCAGGGUCACUGAGAAAAGGGGCUGGACGGAAGACUGAAUACAACUGCCGUGGGCUAAGAGCUAACAUACUCAGAUGGCAGAAAACCCCAGUAUACAAGAUUUUAACUUAGAGACUUAGUCAUGCACUGACAGACAGCAGCAUGACACGAUCCUGCUGGCAACCACCAAGAAGUUAUGGUCAUUAUUUCCACAUACAGAAGGUUCCAAAAUUUUCUGUAUAUCAUCCAUUCCUGACUUCUAGCCAUACUUCAGUUGGAGGAUUGGCCGAGCCAAAGCAAAGAUUGUAUUUCCUGUUUAUAUAUUUAUUAAAUAAUGAGAUC